AGAGAUAUUUGAGCGAGCGUGAGGGAUCGAGAGAUUUAAGCGAGGUUUUCAAUUCUUUUAUCCAUGGAAUUCAUCCAAGACUUCUAUUUCGAUUCCUAGAUCAUCGAGAGAUGGAAGAACUCGGCACAAUCCGACACCAUCUCGGACGUCCUUCGCUUUUAGAAACCGUGGUGACGAAUCCAAUGUCAAACCCAUGGCUGGAAAGUUGCAACAAAGCCUUGGUUAAGAAAGUGGUCAUGUACCAGGCAGUGAGCGAUUCCUCUCAUCCAGUGCAUGGUGUUUCUUUGUAGAAGUUAAAACGCUUCACAGACUUUCUUAUCCGUAGAAGUUCAAAAGAGGCUAUUUGAUCAAGAAGGCCAAACUCAUGCAACUCGCUAUGAUGGCCAAACAUAUGGUGUAAAAGACCCAAGGCAAACUUGAGUGGGAUCUACGCAAUGAGCCCAUGGUUUUCUUGAGUUAGACUCAAUAGAGGAUCAAGCAAGGCUACAAUCAUCUCAAGGCAGACUUGAGAAGGAUCAGGUGAAGCUGUAAGUUGCCUUGAGCAAAGGGGCACUUUUUCUACAACCAUUGUCAUCCCAAGGCAGAUGAGGUGGCCAUGCGGAAAUUUCAAAACUUAAAUCAAUUCAUGCCGUGCACCUUCAAUCUCAUUUUUUCGGAUUUGACGAAACACAGCACAACACUACGCUUGACGGAAAAUGCAGCACAACACCUUGGCUGACUCUUCCUCUUACUGAACGUGGCCCCACAAGGAAAAGCAACUUGGACGCAACCUUAGACAGAAAAGCAACUUGGACGUAUGAGCUGGUUUGACUUCAAGUGCACAUGCACAUUUUGACUUUUCAUCAUCACACCUUGCAAUAUGCUCUUCAAGUUAGAUGGAAGUAGACCACACAACCUCUCUUUACGCGUCAAGUAAAUUCACACCACCAUGGUUUAUCUUCAAACUGGAUCCCAAAGUCCACUUCGACUUUUUUUUCAAUAGAUUUAAUUCCAACCUCAUACGAAAAAGCAAUUUGAACGCAUGAGCUAGUUUGGUUUUUCUUCAAGUGCACAUGUAUAUUGUGACUUUUUGUCUCUUGCGAUAUGCUCUUCAAGUUAGAUGAAAGUAGACCCCAUGCCUCUUUUCAACCUACAUCAAGAGUAAAUUUAGCUCAUGGCAGUCUUCACUUUCAGCCCCUGCUACUCACCGAUGGACCCCACAUGCAAAUCUUCAAUUUACGGAAACUUCAUUCCAUCAAACCAACGGAAACCACCGAGUGCAUGGCUCCCUCUUCCAUUUUCUCACUGUUCUGGUAACCACAACAUUGUCUUUCUGUGAUUUAGACCAACAGAGUUCAAAGAAGCCUCUUUCGUGACUCUAUUGUUGCGUCUUCCCAAUAGAGCAAAACUGCUCUUUGCCUUUUACUUUUUCAAAACCCAAAGAGAUUCAAUACAAGUCUGAAAUUGCAUCUGUUUUCUAGGCUAGAGUUGGCGUGAUUUUCGUUUGAUGCAAGGGCUGUAUGGUAGUUGAUUUUCGCAUAGAGUAGGGGCUGUAUGUCCAAGAAGGGAAAGAGGUGCAGGACUUUUCGUGAGGUGCUUCCAUCCGUUGUUUUCUGUUGGUUUGACGGGAUGAAGUUUCCGUAAAUUGAAGAUUUGCAUGUAUGGUCCAUCGGUGAGUAGUAGGGGUUGAACAUGAAAAUUGCCAUAGGUUGAAUUUGCUCUUAACGCAGGUUGAAGAGAGGCCGUGUGAUCCACUUCCAUCUAACUUAAAAAGCAUAUCGCAAGAGAUGAAAAGUCAAAAUAUGCAUGCGUACUUGAAGACAUACCAAACCAGCUCAUGCGUCCAAGUUGUUUUUUCGUGUGAAGUUGGAAUUAAAUCCAUUGAAAGAAGUCAAAGUGGGGUCCAGUUUGAAGAUAAGCCAUGGUGGUGUGAAUUUGCUCUUGACGCAUGAAGAGAGGCCGUGGGGUCCACUUCCAUCUAACUUGAAGAGCCUAUUGCAAGGUGUGGUGAUGAAAAGUCAAAAUGUGCAUGCUCGCUUGAAGACAAAUCAGCUCAUACGUCCAAGUUUUUUCGUGUCUACCAUCUCUAUUCUGGUUUGCUGUCUCUAGAGGAUGACUUAAGGGAUGAGGUCUACUACAAGUAAUCGAGUUGGGCCUCUGUGGAGUUGUUCGGGCUAUGAAACACGACAUCAACAAUGGCAUCGUCUGUGAGAUCUUUCCUAUAGAAGCAUAUUCGUCGUAUGUUGGCAACAACGUGAUCCCAAACCACACGGAGAGAAGGAGAAUAGUUCAAAAUAAUGGAGGCGAGACUCAUGGAGAUGGGAGACACGAUAAAGAAAUUGAUAAAGGAAAUGGGAAUGCUCCGCCAAGAAAAUGCUGCUCUAAGGUGGACUGACGAGGAAUUGGUAUGGGGAACGGAGCCCAGCGGCAACAAGCAUGCCAAGUCGCGGUGCAUCCUGGAGAUCACCAUGGCCGAAGAAGAGAGGUGCAAGGUGCUCCUCAAGCUUUGAGAGCUUGGGGAUAACUACGCAGAGACGGCCAGAUGAAUGGGUGCGUGGUCCACCAAAGAUCAGCUGCUCACCGGCACCGACAUGCUAUGUAGUGCGGGAGUUAUGGCAAUUCCUUUCUCGCCUAAAUUCAAAGUCCCCCACAUGGAGGUGUAUGAUGGGUCCAAAGACCCACUGGAACACUUGGAGACAUUCAAGGCUCAUAUGACCUUACACGGGUUCUCGAGAGAGGUCGUGUGCCAAGCCUUUCUUCUAACCCUAAAAAGGGUGGCAUGGGGCUGGUUCGGUUCCCUACCACUGGGAUCCAUGAACAGCUUCGGCAAACUAGCUCGUCCCUUCUUGAUGUAGUUCAUGGCGAGCUGGAAAAGGAGGCGUCUAGUCGCCUACCUCCUGACAGUGAAGUAGUGGGAUGACGAGAGCCUGGAUUUAUACCUCUCUCGGUUCAAUCGAGAGCAUAUGACCACGAAUGACCAGGAUGAAAAGAUCACCUUGGCGGCCCUGUUAGGGGGGAUCUGGCCUUGGAACCCGUUCAUGACUGAGAUAGCCCAGAGGACCCCCAUAAUAGUAAGAGAGUUUAUGAACCGAGCCGAUGACUUCAUUAAUGCAGAGGACACCCUCAAAGUCUCAACAGCUCCCCAAAAGAAGGAGUUAGAGCAAGGAGACAAGAAGGUCGCUGGACAGAAGGGCAUGUCGAACUGCGAAAGGGGUACAAAGGGAUAGCUGGAGGCCAAGAGGUGAGGCGUUGAAUUGAACGUGCGGUGGGUAGGGGUGUCAAAUAGUGUUAACGGAUCGUGUUCGUGUCGUGUCGAGAUAUGUGUAUUACAGCUAAUGGGUCAACCCGAACACGACCCGUUAAGGGUUUUGUGUCAAAAUUCUAAACCCUAACACGACCCAUUAAGAUAACGGGUUGACAUGACACGACUCCUUAUGACCCGUUAAUGGAUUUUAAGAAAAGAUUAACACGACACGACACGACCCAUUAUGACCCGUUAAUGGAUUUUAAGAAAAGGUUAACACGACACGACACGUUAUGACCCGUUUAACCCAUAUAUAUUACUAGACACGAACACGACCCAUUAACCCGUUUAACCUGAUUAAUUUUAUAUAAAUAUUAAAAUCACAAUGUCUCUAAAAAAUAUAAAACUAACUACAACUACAAAUUACAAUCCAAAUAAUAAAUAUAUCAAAAUUAAAGUCCCAACAAAAUGACAAACUAAUAGUGCUGCAAUGCAUAAUUAGAACACCUACACAAGUUCAACUAUUCUUGUUACAUUACAUCCAAGGGUACCAAAUAUUCAACAAUCAAAGAGACUAAACAAAUCUUCAUUUCCCCUGCUGUCUCACUCAUCUGACAUUUAAAAAAAAUCAAACAUGAAAAUCAACAAUCAAAGAGACUAAACAAAAGAGCAACAAUCAAAUUUAUUUUCUUCAUCUGUUAUUUUUUAAAGGCAAAAAAAUGUUGGAACUUCCAAAUUUCAACAAUUCAGCAAGCAUAUUGUUGAAAUAUUGAGAUAUAUAAGGAAAAAAUAGGUUAAACUUGCCUUCUGAUGGAUGUUCAAAUCCUGAAUCCACAAUGGCUCGAAGAAGCUCUGGUUUCAACUGGAAGUCUCUAAAUCUCGAAUUGUGUAUACCGAACUGUGUAUCCAAACUAGUUUCAACGAUAUUUUUCUGAAAAUAAAUUAUGUAUGUUGAGGUUCUCACACCAAAUUAGACUGUCCAACAUAAUAAAAUCACAGAUUUGAUUUCUUAAUAAACAUGCACAUGAAACUAACCAAAUAAAACUAACCAAACUCAGCAACAAUACUCAGCAAAAAACUAGAGAUCUUGGCUCAAACUAGAGAAAAAAACUAGAGGAAAAAAAAUCUGGAACUGAAAAAUUUACUUUUGAAAGUUUGAAACUGGAUGUGGCCGUGGGCUUGAGAAGUGGGAGUGGCGCCAACCGCCGUGUGCCACUGGGUGUGGCCGUGGACCGCUGUUGCGUGGGUUGAAGAUGAAGAGGGGGGCGGCGUGAGAAGAGGCCAAGGUUGUGCCGCUGCUGCUGCUGUGCCGUUGAACUAUUGAAGAAUCGAAGAUACUUGGACGACUGGACUCCAGACGGGAUGACCGACUCCGAGUGAGGCACUGUCACACUGAGCUGUGCACCAGCCAAUCCGUGCAACACAAACACCACCGAAGCCUAGCUGCGCACCAGAAUUGCUUCUCCAAUCUCCCCCAGAAUUUUUUUCCCUCAGAAACCUAAGAUCCCCUUUCUAAGUCUGUGGACUGUGCAGUGUGCAGACCGUGCGGCGCUAAGAUUGAAAUUUGAGACUCUAGUGUCUUUGAGGUACCGUGUUAGUGUAUUACGGAUUAGGUUUUUUUUUUUCUUUUGUUUUUAGAUAGAAGGGAUCUAAGGAUAGAAAGUAAAUUUAUAUUUUUAACGGGUCAAAACGGGUUGACCUGUUAGUGACCCGUUAAGCAAUCGUGUCUUAACGGGUCAACCCGUUGUGACCCGAACUCGAUAAGACUAAACUCAAACCCGUUUUUAUCGUGUCGUGUUCAUGUUGGGUUAACGGGUCGUGUCAUAAAUUGCCACCCCUAGCGUUGGGUCCCAUGCACACAUGAGCAUGGUCGUAGAGGCAAAUGCACCUCGAUUCUGCAAAAGGAACCACGACUAGGCCAGGAGAGCUGCAAGUACUAUGCCUACCAUUUGAUGGAUUGGCACAGUACGGAGGACUGCUAUACCCUAAAGCAAAGAGGGAGUGUUGGAGGGCCUACUAGACCAGCAGCGGUAGACGAUGGACCGACAAGAAUGAUGCAAGGGUAGCCAUUCGAGGGCCUGGCGGAGUGAGAGCCUAAGGAGACAAUCGGCUAGGAGAGAGGCUCGAAGGAGCCCACAAUGGCAGAGCCCAAUAAGGGCAAAUAGCCCGGUGGGUGAAAUCCUCAUGAUCAUGGAAGGAGACGUAGGAGGAGGUUCCACCUCGUCGGGUCAGUGGGCCCACGCCCGAAGGGCUUGGUACGAGAAAUUGUUCACAACAGGAAGGGUCACAACUAGCACUAGGAAACAUUUUGAGGGAACCGCGAUAACCUUUAGUGAGAAAGAUGAUGAGAGCAUCCUCCACCCCUAUGACGAUAUGUUGGUGGUUACUGUGCAGAUCGCUAACUUCACCACCUAAAGGGUCCUAAUUGACAAUGGCAGUUCAGCAAACAUUCUAUUAUGGGAGGCUUUUGUCAGGAUAGGGAUCAACUCGGACCAACUGUGCUUGGCCUCGAUGUUGCUCAAGGGUUUCCCAGGCGACAUCGUGCAACCAGUCCUGGCCUUGGCAAGCCGGUUGCUCCUCCUUUGACUGUUGCUAUAGUCGUUGAGCCUGUGGUGGUUGCUAAUUCAAAGGUGCUCAUUGUGCUUGCGGGGUCGUAGGACUUGUCCCGAAGGGUUAACUAGCUCCAAAUGCACUUUUUGGGGACCCUUCUGGAUAAGAUUCCUAUCAGUAGUCCAUGGUUGGGCUGCCUCCUGAGUCUAAUGUGAAGAUGCCUACUCCUUUGGCCUCCAUCACUCGUUCUUCGGCUAGGGAACAAGUCUUCGAUGGUGCCUUUGGCGUUCCACGGAGGAGUCAGGUUCUUUUGAUGGGAGUACACCUUUGUGAGGCCCUCCCUGUGGCGAAACUCUCAUAGGUGGUAUCCUAGUUACUAUUGUUGCUAUUCAUCUCCCAGCAAUGUCGACUGUUGGGUCAGUUAAGGAGACUCCUUGUAGGGAAGCCGAGUCCCCCAUAUCUAACCUGCUGACUGGUGGGGGGGUUGUUGCUAUUGUCAGGUCUAAGUAGGGUGGCAUGCAUGCUUCAGGUGAGGAGAGGAAUCAGUCCCCUUCUUAGGAGGAUCCAACGUCCGUAACUAGGGGUCCUCCCAAUCCCUCAGUCGAUGGACCGGACUAGGAGGUCUUGGGCGAUGUUAGAAGUGUCGAUGGUGGACCAGUGAUCACCUUCCAGGGGCAGUUAGAAGGAGCUUAUCUCUGCUUUUUCUCCAAGGCUUCCUUCACUUUGUCUUAACUUUUUUCCUGUUUUGUUUGUCUCUCUGUCUUUUAUUUUGACUCUUCCGUCUCUUGUUAUGGUGGGCUGUAUGGAGCUGACUUGUUGGCCAACUUCAUCGUGAGUGGCCAGGAGCCAGUCAAGGUGCAGAAUUGGGAGCUUCACUCCAUAGUAAAGACUACUACACGAGCGGGGAGAGGAAUGAGAGAAAGUGCCUGGAGGCAGAGUUGGCGACAGCCAAGGGGUGGGCCAUCUCAUCCCAAGAGUCGUUGAACCAGCUUUGGGUGGAGAAUGAGGAACUGAGGGGGGUCAUCUGGACUCUAAUGCCAAAGGAUUCAAGUUAUUGGAGGGGGAGUGCUCACCCUUGUUGGCCGUCUUGAAGGACCGAGAAGACUCGUUAUCGAUGGCUUAGGCUAAGGUGGAGGAGUUGAAAGGGUUGGGGGUGGCUCAGCUAUGGAUUGCCGGCCAGGAUGUAGUUAUUAAGGACUUGCAGAGCGACUUGGCUCAAGUGCAAGAAGUUGCUACCCGCCUGGGCGAUCAAUUGGGGAAAGCCCUUUACGUCCGCGACGAAGCUUGGGCGUACGAGUAUAUCGAAGGCCUUAAGAAAAUGUGGGAUCACGUUAUUUCUAAUCCUUAAACGAGUUCUCAGGCACUGAAGGCGAACUUGAGGGUCAUCAAUCUCAAAGAACUCAAUCUCGAUCCUGCUACCCUUAAUUAUGGUGGCGAGAUUGGCCAAGCAAUGAUCUCGAACGCCUUUCCGCUCGAAGAUGAAGCCCCUGCAGCUCGCUCUCAUGAGUGCAUUAGGGAAGAGGGGGGAAAUUGAGGGAACUGAUCCUAGAGGUGCUAAGGUCGACCCCACCGGGCGCUCAGUGAACCUAGAUGCUCUAGAGGUGGGACCUGUUGAGUCCAAGGAGGAUCUUGACCCCUCCUUUGCCUGAUUUUGUAUCUCCUGCUUGUAUCGACAUGAUGUAAAUUUCUUUAUUUCAGUCUUUUCCUUGUAUUGACCACGACUAAUACACUAGUAUACUUGCAUAUGCAUUUUUGUUUCUCAUCAUAUUGCCCCGUGUUUUGCUUUGUGGUCGUUUCCUUAUUCUUCCCUUGCCUUUUCUUUUUCCUGCCAAUUGGUUUGUCUAGACUUUCUGCUCCAUUGUCCACUAUGGUUUGAGAUGCCUCAUUCUGAGAAAAAGGAGGGAGGGCUUGCACUUUGCCCUCUUGCCACGUUUUAGUUACCAGGCUUCUUCUUUGGGCUUGUUUGGCAGUUGAUAUGAUGCAUGUAGGUUCUUGCGUGCUUCAGGUAGUUAGAUAUUAAUACUCACAUGUUACGCCCUUUUCACAUUAAUGGUGCUAGAUGAUAUUUGAGGUGUGCACUACGAGAUUCGUGUAACACCUGCUACGACAUUCACGUCGGAUUUGAUGGGGGCUGUGGGAUACGCACAAUUCCAACCUCAGGGAAUGAACCAUCGCGAAUGCCUAUAUAAGUCCUCACUUCUUCGAUGGUAUUCAUUGUAUCUCCCUUCGUGCCCUUCAAGCAACUAGAGCCUUUUUACCUUUUCUUACGUGGGUUCUGUUCUAGGUGACCCUGGGUCUAAUGAGUCUUCUGGCUCUGGACGAGACUUCCUGGAUGAAGGCUCACCACAGGUUCACAUUGAAGCAAAUGUUCAGCAACUCUUCACGGUGCCAAGAGGAAGUUUUGUUGAAAGUUUUGCUAUUCCCUGUCACUUGGAGUUGCGUUUCAAAGGUGGUAUGGCAUGGGCAUCAUGGUUAUAUCAUUCGACGGUCUUUUCUAUCUCAAGACUCGUCGUGCAAUCCACGUUCCAUUACAACAUCGCAACCCAUUCGACUGAACAAGUUGGGCUGGUGCUUCCCUCUCAGGCUUGGUUGGUGCCAGGCGCUUCUCCCACAAUGGAACCAUUCAGGUUUGGGCAUAUGCCCACUAGUCAAGGAGGAGGAAAAUAUGCCGAGAAGGAGUGCCCCUUCUAGGAUUGACUCGACGCCUGCUCAUUGUUAACAUCCUUGAUAGUGAUGAGGAUCAUACUCCAGGAGUCCCUAUCUGCCACUUCCACGAGAAAAUGAUUUCUUCUGACGGUGGUCUUCCUGGUGAGUGCCCUGAGGAUGAAGGGUCUCGAGGUUUUACGAAACGUGAUGGCCCUUGAGUGUCUAUCUUUUGUUCACUUUUUGGAUUGGGCAAUGGUUGUGCGCCUCUGGGCGACCCCACCGACUCUAGGCUUAUCGGUAGAGUACUUUCCUUUUUCAGAUGUACGUGUUUGUUUUCUCUUCUUGUUUGUGGAGACGUUGUAAUCUUCCUCUUUAUAAAGAUUUCAAUCUUUGUAAAGACUUCGUUCAUUAAUGAAUAAGCAUUCUCUAUCAUUUUGCUUGUGUUCUUUUACUUUGUUGUCUUUCUUUUAUCAACACUUGUUUACUAUUUGCGCGUAUCAUUCGCUUGUUCUAAGGAGAGGUCGAGUGUUGGGCCAAAGAUGGUGCUGCCAAUGCCAUGGGCUUGACCUCCCAUUUUACCUCACGGUUAGGUGACUUUCUGCGUUGUAGAGGGAGGUAGGAAUGCAUUAAUUCACCUAGCCUUGUCGGUUUCCCUGCCAAUCAAGGGGGGCCGAGGGGCACGUAAAGGCUGGGAUCACUGUAAUCCUUUGGAAGAAGUCAAGCAACAUGUUAAGACUUGAUUCGCCUCAUUGACCUUUGCACUUGGCGAGAGAGGGUCGAGCGACAUGUAAAGGUAGGGCUCACCCUGACACUUUAGUUAGCUGAGGUCGAGUAGCACAUAAGGCUCAACUGGACUCAUUGAUCAUUGCACUUGGUGAGAGGGGGCCAAGCGGCAUGUAAAGGCCGAACUCACCCUAAGACUUUGGCAUAAGUCGAGCAGCACGUUAAGGCUAAACUCACUUCGUUAACCCUCGCACUUAUUGAGAGCUGGCUGAGCGGCAUGUAAUGGUCAAGCUCGCCUAGAUACUUUGGCUAAGGUCAAGAUGCACUGUAAGACUAAACUUGCCUCGUUGACCAUCGUGUUUGGUGAUAAGGGGUCGAGCGACAUGUAAAGGUCAAUCUCGCCCUGAUAUUUUUUAGGAGGUCAAGCAACACAUUAAAGUUGAACUCACCCGAUUGACCCUCAUGUUUGACAAAAGCGAGUUAAGUGGCAUGUAAAGGUUGGCCUUACCCUAAUACUUUGGUGGAGGUUGAGCAACACGUUAAGGCUGAACUCGCCUCGUUAACACUCGCAUUUGGCGAGAAAGGGUUAAGCAGCAUGUAAAGGCCAAGCUCACCUAGAUACUUUGGCACAGAUCGGGCAGCAUGUUAAGGCUAAACUCACCUUGUUCACCAUCGCGUUUGGUGAGAAAGGGCCAAGCGGCAUGUAAAGGUUGGGCUCGCCAUAAGACUUUGGCAUAGGUCGAGCUUAGUGAGAGGAGUUGAGAGGCAUGUAGAGGCUUGGCUCGCCCAGAUACUUUGGUUAAAGUUAAACUCGUCUCAUUGACCCUCACGUUUGGCGAGAUGAGCCGUAAAGGUUGAGCAGCAUGUUAAUGUUCAAAUUGCCUUGUUGACCCUUGCUUUUGGUGAGAGGGCGCCGAGCAGUAUGUAAAGGUCGGGCUCGCCCUAACACUUUGGCUAAGGUCAAGCAGCACAUUAAGGUUGAACUCGCCUCAUUAACCCUCUUGCUUGGCGAGAUGGGGUUGAGCAGCAUGCAAAAGCCAGCCUCGCCCUGAUACUUUAGCGGAGGUCAAGCUGCACGUUAAGGCUAAAAUCACAUUGUUGACCCUUCUUUUGGCAAUAAGGGCUCGAGUAGCAUGUAAAGGCCGGGCUCACCUAGAUACUUUGGCGGAGGUCAAGCAACAUGUUAAGGCUAAACUAGCCUUGUUGACCUUUGCAUUUGGUAAGAAAGGGCUGAACGGUAUGUAAAGACUAGGCUCACCCUAAGACUUUGGCGGAGGUCGAGCAACACAUUAAGGCUGAACUUGCCUCGUUGACCCUCACGUUUGGAGAGAAUAGGUGAAGCGGCAUGUAAAGGCCAGGCUCACCUAAAUACUUUGGCAGAGGUCAAGCAGCAUGUUAAGGCUGAACUCGCCUCGUUAACCCUUGCGCUUGGGGAGAGGGGGCCAAGCGGCAUGUAAAGACUGGGCUCACCUAGAUACUUUGGUGGAGGUCGAGUAGGACAUUAAGGCUGAACUCGCCUCAUUGACUGGGUGUUUGGUAAGAGGGGGUUGAGUGGCAUGUAAAGGCCAAGUUCGCUCAGAUACUUUGGCAGACGUUUGAGUACGCUGCAGAAGUCAACCCGAUUAGUGUAAGCAAUCAUUUGAGAUUUGCAAACCUGAGCUGUUUUGUUGGAGAGUGGUGACAACCACAGGCGUUGCUUUGGAGGAGACAAUAUUUCCAAAGUUACAUUAGGUAGUCAUGGGACUGACUCGUACUCCGUUGAGGGAGGGGUAGGAAUACCUUAAGCAAUACUCUCCCUUUUACUCCCCUGGGGAGAUAAUCUGUUGACGGCUGGAGAGUCGAUCUACACUUCAUCGCUGUGGGGAUAGAGUAAGUUGUUCGGGCAACUGAGAGGUUGGAUCGGCUUUCCUUUGUGGGGUGGUCAAACCGAGUUAGGACUGAGUCCGCCUAUCGUCCGUCAAGUGAAGGUAGUCUAUUCGGGCGGUUUGCGACUGGACCCACUCUAGACUAUUGGCACCACGGGGAAGGUAGGUAAGGGUCAAGUUGGCACUAAUCUCACUCUUCGUCAUGGUAGAGGUUGAGGUAAGUGUUCAACUGGCCUAAGGGCCUGAAACAUUCUCCCAUGUAGAAGGGUCAAGAUAGCCUUUGGCUUAUUUCACCCUUCAGAGUCCCACUGGGAGGUAAGGAUUGAGCAGUUUGAGACUGGACUCACUUCCUCCUAUUAAUGCACAUGAGGAAUGUACGUUGUCAAGUAGCUAAGGAUUGGCCCACACUUCACUGCGGGAGGGAUCAAAGAGCUUUAGCCAUUACACCUAUCCCUUUGGCACCCCUGCGGGGAUGGUAAACAUUAGACAACUGAGUAGUUGGUCCACAUUUCGUCAUGACGGGGAUAGGGUAAUUCGUUUGGGCAGCCGAGAGAUCGAGCCCAUUCUCCUUCGUGGGGAAUGAGUCGUCAGGGGGGCUGGACCCACCUAUUGACCCUUGUAAGGAGGUAGUCUGUUCAAGCAGUUUGUGAUUGUACCAUCUCCCAUUCGUUGACAUAGUAGAAAAGGUAAGUGAGGGAUAGGCUGGCGCUAAUCCCACUUUUCGUUGUGGCAGAGGUUCGAGUAAGUGUUCUGUUGGCUUAACCCGUUCUCCCUUGCUGGAGGGUCAAGAUGGUCAUUGGCUCAUUUCACCCUUUGGAGUCCUGCGGAGAGGUAAGACCUGGGGAGUUUAAGACUGGACUCGCUCCCACCUAUUUAUAUACAUGAGGAAGGUAAGUUGUUAGGCAGCUGAGGGCAAAUUCGCACUCCUCCGCUAAGAGGGUAGAGCAGCACUUAGGCAUGACCUACCUCCUUUGUAUCCCAUGGGGAGGAAGGUUGUCAUUUGUAGCUUCCGUUGGUGGAGACAUAUGUUGAUGAAGGUUAACACUAGUGGAGACAUUGAUCUUACACAUUAAAUUCCUAAAAAAACUCAUGUCUUUUAUUAACAAAGUUUAUACAACAGAAAAUGAAAUUUACACGUUUGGAGGGCCUCUAGGGGACUAUUUUCCUCCCUGCACUUUUGUUUUUUCCUCCAGCCAUGGGAGGUUGAGUUACUGACAAAACCUAGUCGAGGCUUCAUGUAAGGAGCAUACCCAUGCUAAUUGUUGGUCGUAACGGGUCGGGGGUACACCACGGGCAGCCCGCUAUCCCUCAGUUUCAACUCUUGCAUGUAGCACUCUCACGCUCGGACUUGUUCUCCCCAGAUUUCUCCUACCCUUUGAGCGGUUGGGAACUUCAUCUUCAGGUGGCAGAUGGAGAUGAUUGCCUUGAGGUUGUUGAGGGUCGGUCGGCCAAUGAUGGAAUUGUAAGAGGAGGGGGCCUUCACGACUAGGAAGUUGACCAUGAUGGGGGUCUUGUAGGGAGCGCUACCCGUUAGGACAAAAAGAGUGAUUGUCCCGGCUAGCUAAACUGUCUCCCGAGAGAAGCCAUUGAGCGACAUCAGAGCCGGUCAGAGUCGAAUAGUGUCUAUUCCCUUGUGGGUAAACGCUUUCCAGAACAGGAUGUCAGCCGAGCUACCAUUGUUGAUAAGGAUCCUGUUUGUGGUGAAGUUGGUGACUAGCAUGGUCACCACUAAAGCGUUGUCAUGCGGGUAAAGGACUCCCUCCUCAUCAUCUUUCCCAAAGGAGAUUACGGGUGUAGGUUCACUCCUCCUGUACUUGGUUGGGCGGUACGUUGCCUAGUACACUUCUUAGUAUCGGGCCUCCCUAACGUGCGCCUUUCUCCAAAUGUGGUCGCUCCUCCACUAGUGAAUCCCCUAACUAUCGUUCUAAUUUCCCCAGCAAGGUUCUUUCUUGGCACAACAACAAGGAGGACCACACGGAUGUCUUAGCUUGGCUUCCCUUCGUCGUAGGCUCUCCGCUCUUCUUUGCCUAUAGCCCUUAUCGAGGCGUCUGUCCCAUGACUACCUCCUCCACACUUGUUCUUCCUGUCAGGCAGGGGGAUAUCUCGGUGCUACUCGAUCUGCCCGCUUCUUUCCUCCCCAUGUGGAAUGGCAGUCUGUUAGAGACCUCAGUCUAGUCCCUAAAUAUUAAGAUCUUCUAGCUCCGCUUCUCUUUAAGAUGACCAAAGUGUCUUGUCUUCUUAUUUGUCUUUACUUGAGUAUGGAUCUUAAGCAAUGGUGUUUGGUGAAUAAUAAUGGAUUGGAUGGUGAUUGUAGAUUGAGAAAUCUAUGGAAUGAAUAUAAGCAAUGGUGUAAUGUGGACGGAUUGAAUAGUCUCUCUUGGUGUAGGCGCCACUUGGGAAAACUUAGGGUUUGGAGAUUAUGGUUGGCGCCACUUAGGGUACUUUGGGGUUUGUGGAAGUGAGGAUAGGGUUUAUGAUGGAUGAGAUGAGAUCCAAAAGUGUAGUACCACUUUAGGGUUUAUGGGGGGUAUGGCUAGGGUAGGUCUUUUAAGGUUUAUAAGAAUUCCUAAGAUUUUGGAAUCACUUUAGGGUUUAUGGGGGGUACGGCUAGGGCAAGUCUUUUAAGGUUUGGAAGAAUUCCUAAGAUUUUGGAAUUAGGGGAAGCUAGGGCUAGGGUUUCCUAAAAUAUAGAAAAUCCUUAUAGGAUCUAGGGAAUUCUGUCAAGGCAAUGGAGGCACUAGAUCUAGGCUAGAUUUAGGAUUUUAUGGCUUUAUGAAGUAGAUCUAUGAUGGAAUAUGGAAAGAUGGAGGCUAAAAUAGUGUUUGGUGGGUAGGAAAAUAUAUGGAAAGUGAAUGGUAAUGGACAACACGGCUAGAUCUUCUUGGAAUAGUAGAUCUAGUGUGUUGUAUGGAUGAAUGAAUCAAUGGAUGAAUAAUGGAAUCAAUUUGGCGUGAGGAAUGGUGGAUUUGCAAGAUAAUGAAAUCAAAAAGAAAAUAACAAAACAAGUAAAAGUUCAAUAAUGGAAUUGUGAAAAGAAACUUGUCAUAAGAUAGAUAAAUAAAUCAUCACUCAUUCAUGAAUUGCACAGUGAAGAUCCUCUAUUUGGGAUUCACAAAUUGAGCCCAAGUACCAAGUACUGAAAAGAGAUAUCCUAGACAAUAGUUUGUCCACAAAGAAAAUAUGCUAAAAGAUGCAAAAUAAAAUACUAAAGGUCCUACUUAUAGAUUUACAAAGUGAAAAUCCUAGUAGGUCCCAUAAAUAAUAAAAGAUUUAAAAUAAAUGAAAUAAUAAUAAAAUAAUAAGUAAUAAUGCUAGGGUUAGCCAUGGGAACCAGAGUGGCCCAAGGCUAGUCUUGGUGCAUGGCUUGGACUUGGAUGGGCCAUGGGCAUUGCUGCUGUGGUGCUUGGUUGUCGUGCACAUGCAUGGCUAAUGGGUUGUGUGCAUGGACAGGCUUGGCCUGCGCACCGGGCAAGCUGGUGGCCUGCCCACGCUGUGCUGUGCUUUUUGCUGCACGUUGGCCUAGUCCCUAACCUUACUAGUGUGCUGGCUAGCUGCGACAAGGGCAUGUCAUGGCAUGGGCCUUGGCAUACCUGUGGCUCGUUAGUGGGACUGUUGAGGCAUGUCAAAGGUUGUGUCGAGACUUGAUCCAUGGCAACUUUCCUAGGGGUUCUAACACAGUCUUCCGUAUUGUGGGUGGUCGACUAGUGGUAGGUGCAAUAGCAUCGUGUUGUUCGUCCUCUUGGGAGGGCUGGCACUUAUCCUUUUAGAUGGCAAACGCCGACCGGUCUAGCCGAUAUCCUGCACUCUUUGAAGAGGGCUCUGCCAAUAUCCUACACUUUUCGAGGAGGGCUCCACCUUCCUUCUGUCAAACGGCCCUUUUGCUAGUGGACCCCUAGUCGGGGCUUUCACUUUCUUGUCCACCCACAAUGUAGCGGGGGUCCUCUUGGCCAGCUCUGCCAUGAACUGGGACCGGGGCCACACUCCCCCUAAGAGUGCCGCCAGGGUGAUCUUUUCGUCCUAAUCUUUCAUUGUCAUGCACUCCUUGUUGAACCUAGUCAUAUAUGCUUUUAAGUUCUUGGCCUCACCUUGCUUGAUGGUGAGAAGGAAUGUCGCAGGACACCUUCUUCUCUUACUUGCCAUAAACAGCGUGAGAAAUAGGCGGGCCAGUUCUGAAAAAAUGUCUAUAGAACCGGGUGUCAGGAAACCAAACCACACCCUCGCCGGUCUCUUCAAAGUUAGCAUGAAGUCUCUAUAGGCCACCUCCCUGGGGAAACCAUGCAAAUUGCAAGGUCAUGUGUGCCUUAAAGGUUUUGAUGUGCUCGACCGAGUCUUGGGUCCCAUCAUACAUUUCCAUAGUGGGGGGGACUUGCCAUCACUUUUGCACUGUAUGACAAGCCCAAGCUGACAAGCAAUUAGUCUACCGAAGUUGAGUUUCUAUCCUUUUUAGGCCAAGAGAUGGACGCUGGAGAAAAGAAGAGAGCUUUGGUUUUUCUCAAAACACACGCAUGCGGAACCCAUCUCAGUUUGGACAGACGCAAGGGAGAAAGUUUUCUUUUUCCUUAUUGAAAGUUUUCUCAAGCCGUUUUUGGGUUUUGAUGGAAAGUUUUGGAUAUUGGCAAGUGAGGUAGCAUUUUGGGUCUGGACGAACGUGAGACACACAUCACAUUUUAUAUAUAUAUAUAUAUAUGAACGGAACGGCAUGCAA